UUCAGAUAAAUUACACACUUUUGAAUUAGUUUUUAUUUUUGUAAAUUAACUCUUAAUUCAGAUCCAUUUGAAAUCAAUAUGCAUAGUAUGCAUAUAUCAAUCAUGACCAAACACUUUUAUCUGAAAAGGGGCAUACAAAGUUAAAGGUUUUGAAUAGAACUACACUACAAAGUAACUAUCACUAAUGCCUGCUGUGUCAAAAAUAUAUUACUUAGUUGCUGCCAUUUAUUUUUUGGUUAAACAAGUGCCAGUGUCAAUUUGAACUGAUUUUAAAUUGAUACAUUUGAAUGAAAUUUUUAAAGCAUAAUGCAAAUGUUGAAAUCAAGAUGCAAUACUUAAACCUGUAACCUAUAAAAAUAUUCAAAGUCAAUUCCCUGACUGAAGUGGAGGGUCAAAUAAUCUCUUAAUAAUGUUCAAAUGAGAACUGUCAAGGCUAGUACAAAUGUUUACCUCAUAAGUGGUUCAUCUUAUACACAAACUUUAAUAGUAAGUAACGACCCUUGGGGGGAAACUCCAAGAAUGAGACAUGUUAUUACCAGAACAAUACUAUGCUAACACAAAGUUAGUAUCUUACAGAAACAAAACUUGUGUAGUGUACGCCAAACAAGACCAUCUCAAGUUUUUAGAGUGCAGCAAUUUUAUGGGAUAAAUAAACUUCAAAAAUAUGCAAAUUUACAUUUUUAUCCUUGACCAUUUCUGUAUAAAGAUUUUCCUAUAUUUUCGACAGAAACACUUCAUUUAACACACUCAUAAAUAUUUAUGUUUACAAUAUAAAUAAAUAUAACUGAUAAAAGACAAAGUAAAUAUGCCUAAUAACUACUAAUAACUUAUCUAAAGAAUGUAAAUCAAUUAUAAAUCAUGCUUAUUAUAUUGUAAAUCAACUAUCAUCUGGGUAAUUACAGUAGAUAUAAGUAACUAUUUAUAUUACAUUUAACAUCGAACAUUCCUUUCUUGUUCUUUUUUAAAACAUUUCUUUCACUACACCGGUCAUUUAAUGUUGAAUAUUAAUAUUUGGCAUUAAAUACUAGUAAACAAUUAAAUCUUGCAAGUGUAUCCUAUCACUGACCUGUGAAGAUACAAUGAAAGUUAGGGAGGGUUUGUUGUUGUUGAAGAAAUAUGUGGUGUUUGCAUUCUUGAGACAAAAUCCCUAAACACACUCAAAUCCUGAAGCAAAGGAACAGCAAUUUUAUUCAGAAAUAUAUAUGUGAUACAAUUAUUUCAUACAUUGUGUAUGUGCUAGUAAACCGUCUCAUCAGAAUGUUUAUAUUUGAUGUAAUGUAAUUUAAGUUUUAGCUUAUUUCUUUUGGCUGCAAUUUUGGAGGGGUAACAGGUUGAUUUUCUUAUUCGACUAAACAAAUUGACAUGUAUGAUACAAACAAGUCUGAUUAAAGAUCUAUACAAGAUUGUAGUGAUAAAUCAAGCAAGGCUAAAUGAAAUUUUUAAUUGUUCAGAUCAAAAAGUGUCUAAAGUCAGAUAUUAACUAGUUGAAUGUCCCAGGUGCAGAUACUAUGAUAGGGAAGAAACUUAUUGCACAAACUGUUUCAAAUCUCCUCACUUUUGUAUUUUUUGAAACCCUGUUGGUGUAUAUUUAUUGAUACAAACUCAAUAGUUUUUUCCUGUAGGCAAUUGUCCUAUUAUUACCCUCUAAUAGUACAACUAAUGACUAUACAUAUGGGGAUAGAAAUAUUUGGUUCUAAAUUAGUCAAUGAAGUAAGCUUAAUAAUGAGCUUGAUAGGCAAAUUUUAUACUUGACAAUUAAUAUUUCAUGCAUUUUCUAUGGAAAACUACAAGUGCCACAAAGUACCCUCCUAAGUAGGUCCUUACACUAAUAUCUACAAUAGACUUCCAGUAAUGGUUAACAUUCAAUUGAGAUAAAAAAGUUAGUUACAUAUACACAGCAUGCAUAGAUUGUGGUUAACACAUGUAUAUUUAAAUUAUAUUAGCGAAUUCAUAAAAUAAAAUAAAAUUUUACAAUGUAUAAACAAAUUUAUUACCAAAAUAUUUACCUAAAGAAUAUGUUCAAACAAAAGCUAACUCUAUAUGAAAAUCAGGCACUUAUCUAACCUAUUGGUUUCUUUGUCAAGUGGUUUAUUGCAGUAAUAAUCACAUAAAGCCUCUCUUUGACACAAAGGAUGGAUUAUCAUGAGAAAAAAAAGAAAAUCAAUAUAUUGCAAUAAAUGAAACAACUACAAUUUGUAUGGAAAAUUCAGUCAUAUUUACAAAUGAAAUUUUUAAAAUAGUUUUCAAAAUUCAUCUGCUUAUUUUAAUAAUUCUAACUAUAUACAAUUGCCUUUGAAAAUAAUCAAUAUCAUAACAUGGUUAAUUUUCCAACCAAGCUAAAUAAUUGCCUACAGUAAACCCUUGGUUUGUGUACAUAUACACAUGUAUUAAAUUACUAUUACAUUAACAGCUGACCCUAUAAUUUGGUCCUAGAAGUAAUCCUCCAUGUAAUGAUACAUUUUAUACCUUUAUCAAUAUAAAUUAAAACAUUUACUUGUUUGUCAAAUUACAAAUUUUCCUAGAAAACUUUAAUCAUUGGACAAACUGAAAUAUAUAUCCCAUUUCACUUGCACUUUCUGUCUAUUGAAAACCUUCUACUAGCUAGAAAUAUGCUAAAAUUAGCAUCAGUUGAGCAUUUUUAAUUCAAACCUCAACUUGAUAUAUUCAACUA
rnacentral:lncRNA from 1 species